UGUGCCCGAUUAUGGUGCAUGGAAUAUUGAAUAGGACCUCGGUUCUAUCUUGUUGGUUCUUCGGAACACGAGGUAAUGAUUAAUAGGGACAGACCGGGGCAUUAUUAUGCGACGUUAGAGGUGAAAUUCUUGGAUCGUCGCAAGACGGAUACUGCGAAAGCAUUUGCCAAGAAUGUUUUCGUUAAUCAAGAACGAAAGUUAGAGGUUCGAAGGCGAUCAGAUACCGCCCUAGUUCUAACCAUAAACGAUGCCAACCAGCGAUCCGUCGGUGUUACUUCGAAUGACCCGACGAGCAGCUUCCGGGAAACCAAAGUAUUUGGGUUCCGGGGGAAGUAUGGUUGCAAAGCCGAAACUUAAAGGAAUUGACGGAAGGGCACCACCAGGAGUGGAGCCUGCGGCUUAAUUUGACUCAACACGGGAAACCUCACCAGGCCCGGACACUUGGAGGAUUGACAGAUUGAGAGCUCUUUCUUGAUUCAGUGGGUGGUGGUGCAUGGCCGUUCUUAGUUGGUGGAGCGAUUUGUCUGGUUAAUUCCGAUAACGAACGAGACCCUAGCCUGCUAAAUAGGCAGCAGAUCCUCAUAUGUAGUGUCUGAAGUUCUUCUUAGAGGGACAGGUGGCGUUUAGCCACACUAGAUUGGGCAAUAACAGGUCUGUGAUGCCCUUAGAUGUUCUGGGCCGCACGCGCGCUACACCGAAGGAAUCAACGUGGUCACCUAGUCCGAGAGGACCGGGAAACCCGCGGAAACUCCUUCGUGAUAGGGAUUGGGGCUUGCAACUGCAACCCAUGAACGAGGAAUUCCCAGUAAGUGCGAGUCAUAAGCUCGCAUUGAUUACGUCCCUGCCCUUUGUACACACCGCCCGUCGCUACUACCGAUUGAAUGAUUUAGUGAGGACUUCGGAUCGGUCCCCGUCGGUUGUACCUCCCGGUCAAUGCGGUGCUUCCCCGUGAAGACAUCCAAACUUGUUCAUUUGGACGAAAUUCAGCAUGCG
rnacentral:rRNA from 1 species